CUCUCUCUCUCUCUCUCUCUCUCUCUCUCUCUCUCUCUCUCUCUCUCUCGACAAAGGCAGUUGUGCUGUGAGGAUGAUCUUUUUUUGACUUCUCCUGUGCAUUUAACACCAUCCAACCUCUGCUGCUCAAAAACAAACUGAUCGAGAUAGGAGUGGGGGUGCAUCAAGACUGGUGACGUGGGGGAGUACAGGCAGAUCAUUGAGAACUUUGUGGUUUAGUGCAUGGCUAACCACCUUCAACUGAACACUGCCAAAGAGACGGUGGUGAACUUUAGGAGGAGCAGGCCACAGCUGCAACCUGUGACUAUUGAGGGGGACACUGUGGAGGUUAUAAAGUCACAUGCGGUGACUGUCACUGUUGGAUCUCGAGCUUGUCAAGUGAUGAAAAUUUGACAGCAAACGUAAAUAUGUCAGAUAAUAAUUUAAAUAGAAAUGGAAAUACUUCAUAUAGAUAUCAUUCUUAAUUGAAAAAAAUCUACAAAAUGCAAGAUGCAGAGGUGUUAUUAUUUGCCAAAAAUCAAUUUGAAUAAAUAGGCCAUGACAACUUUUGGGGAUUGCCUCAUAGGGCCAGUUCAAGUGGUGGGGGGCAGAGAUACUGGAGGGCUGGUCAAAGGGUCCCACGUGCCUUAGUUUGAUGACCACUGAGUUAGAGCAUGGAAAUCAGACCGAAGUCCGACGAGUUCGGACAAAUAUUUAGAACUUAUAUUCAGGCUCGGGUUGGACUCGGACACAUCAGCGCGUCAGCUAUUUUCUGUCUACAGUAAAAUCGGUCGCUCUGAGACUCUUAAGUGUUCAAAAGAUCAGAGCUCUGCACUUGUAGUUUAUAUACAAGUCAAAACUGUUAUUAUUAUUUGUGAAAUGUGGUGCAACGCAGAAGAUACAUGAUUUUUAAACCAUAAAAGACUGGCAAUAAAGUCCACAGGAAAUAUACUAUGGCUAAUCUGCAGCUUCACCUCGAUCCAUGCGCUGAACAGACACGUGAGAAAAUAUCACUUUUUUACUUUUAAAGGACAGCGCUCUUUUGAGGACUGGGCUCAUUAUUUGCUGAGGACAAUUUUUAUGGAUAAUGUGGAUGAGAUGCUGCACUUUAAAUUUACCACUUUACGAGAGGCGAGGAAUAAAGUCUUCUCAUUAUUAUCCCGAGUUUGUAUUUUGCAUCUCUGUGUCCUUAGAGCAGGGGUGCUCAAUACGUCGAUCGAGAUGUACCAGUCGAUCACCAAGGUCGUGUGGGUAGAUCGCCGUGUCUCCUCUCGAACUCGCGUUUGGACCCAGUCUUGUCUCUCACUCAAGGUCUGACACUCAACAAGUGCGAUCAUAUUUCAUUACGGCCGCUGCUGUUGGCAAUAAACUUGUAGCGGGGUGCAGGAGCAUGUGGGGCGUUUCAGUGCAGCCUGUCAGUGUUGGGAAGGUUACUUUUAAAAUGUGUUCCCCUACAGAUUACAGAUUACAUACCCCAAAAUGUAGUUUGUAACGUAAUCCAUUAAAUUACUUAAAGUGAGUAACGUAAUCUGAAUACUUUGGAUUACUUGAUAUUGUUAUGCUUUUGAAAACAACAUGAAUGUAACAACCACAUCCUGAAAAUUCUUGUUUGUUCUCUUCAAAUUGUCUGUUGAGCCCAAAUCUCCAUGAACAGACAACUGUUUACUGUAGAGAGGUAAAGACCAGGAAAUCUUAACAUGAGGUAUUUGUUUUGUCUGCUAAAAGAAAAUAAAAAGCCCAGUCUUUACUUAAGCAUAUUAAAAAUAUUGAUAGAGAAAUAAUUUAUAUAUGAAAUCACUGCUGCCUUAAAUUAUGUCCACCUACUGUUAGGUGUCAUAUUGUCUAAACCAGGUUUAGUCCUGCUUUUAGACCUGGUUCAGUCCUGGUUUAGACCUGGUGUAGUCCUGGGUUUAAUCCUGGUUUAGUCCUGGUUUAGUCCUGCGUUUAGUCCUGGUUUUAGUCCUGCUUUAGUCCUGGUUUUAGUCCUGGUUUAGUCCUGGUUUAGUCCUGGUUUUAGUUCUGGUUUAGUCCUGGUUUAGUCCUGGUUUAGCCCAAAAUGUGAAAACAGGAAAAUACCGCCGUGUAAUCCAUUUAUUUCAACAAAGUAACUGUAAUCCAAUUACUACUCACUGAAACAGUAACUGUAACUGAAUACAGUUACUCAUAAAUUGUACUCUGAUUACCUAAUCCCAGUUACACGUAAUCCGUUACGCCCCAACACUGAUAAUAUAGAUUUAUUGCAGUUUGUGUUUUUGUAACUUUAUUCUACAUUUACAGUAGUUUUUAUGGAUAAACCUGUUGUUGAUAAACCUGUUGUCCGCGGCUCGCGGAGGCUCGGACACGUUGCAUCUCACGUGGUCAGAAAAAAGUGAAAAAAGUGUCAAACUUAAAGAAACGCUCGCGGUGGGCUUUUUCAAAAUAAAAGCCAGUGAGAAACAGACGUUUACAAUAAAAUAAAUAAAUAAAUAAUAAAAACUGCGUUAUAGGCGUAAAAAUAAUUGUCGGCGUUAAUGACUUAAUUAGUUUACGCAAAGUUAACGCGUUAAAGUGCCCGGCCCUAGUAUUUAGUGUCCUUAUGUCCAAAGGCUAAAAGUGUGCCUCUUAUUUUUCAGGUUUUCGACAGGAAUUAGGCUUAUGUGAAAUUAUUAAAAGUAGUGAAAGUGUAACCCAGGUUAAUAUAUACAAAUUUGGUCAAUAGCGAAUAUUCCAACGGCGACGGGUCACUAAACGCGUCACGCGCACGAUCGCGCUUUCCAUAAGUCACCUGCUCCCCUCCCUCCAUACACACCCGGGAGUGAGGCGAGACAGGGCGGCUGCGCAGGUAUGGAGCUAUCAUCACAAAUUUUCUGAUUAUAUAACAUCGGUUGUUCGUAAACUUACGCUUAUUUAUGCAACGUUUCAGGAGCCCUUACCGCUAAUAUCUGAUGCCGGAAAGACCGAAUUAAAUGAUAGCACAAAGGAAUUGGCCAGGUGAUUCUGGCUGAGAAAACCAUCCCGAUGGCGAGCUGAACCCAGGAACUUUGCCUACAACUAAAGACACACAGCGGUAUGGAGAAGAAGAAACUGCAGCUGUUGGACAAAUACCAGGAUCUGAAGAAGAGCGGGAAACUGGAAACACCGCAGCAAACGCUAGCACCGCCGCUAACGGUAGAGCAGAGGCGUACACCGGUAAAAAAAAAAUAUAUAGCGGACUAUGAGGAGGAACUGCGCCGCUCUGAACACGACAACCAGAGACUCCAGCGGCUCCUGGACUCGGCUCUGAGGGCUAUGAGCCCGAGAGUGGUGCUAGUCAGAGCCACUGUCCAGCUCCCCUCUCUGAGUCCUGGUCUGACUCCACACAUUAAAGAACCCAACAUCAAACAGUAGGAAGACCAGCUGCAAGUGUCUGUCCCAGAGUUUAGUGCUGUGAGCGUGAAGACAGAAGAAUCCUCACUGCUUCAACAAAGACAAACUGAGCAAAGAGGGGACACACAGAGAGAGGACAUCAGAACAGAGACACACAUCCACUCAGAGACAGAGGGGGAAACCGAUCACUCUUCUGAGACUGACAGUGAUGAAGACUGGAGAGCUCCACUCAACUGCUCACCUACACACAUGGACACAGGGGCUGAUGAAGACCACCACAACCAAGACCAGAGGCAGAAGCACCACUGCACAAAACCCACACCUGUCCCCCAAAUACAAGUCUACACCAAAGACCAGAGCCACUGUGGACAAUGGAGACAUGUCAGGAACUGGCGAAGGAGCUAAGAGCAGGAAACACAAGUGCUCUGUUUGUAAAGAGAGAUUUGGGUCUAAAUAUAAACUACAGAAACACAGGAGAGUUCACAUGGGAGAGGAACCGUUCAGAUGUUCAGUUUGUAAGAAAGAGUUUGCUUUAAGAUCUACUCUCAAAAGACACAUGAUUACACACACACAGGGGAGAAACCAUUCAGCUGUUCAGUCUGUAAGAAGGGGUUUGCUGAUAGGUCCACUCUCAAAACACAUAUGAAGAGACACCAUAGACUGCAUAUAUAAAUAAAUAUAGCUAAGGACAUAGCUAACACACUCUUCCGGCUCCCACUGACCCUGGCUCCCAUUGAUUUACAUUGUAAUAUUGGGGUCCCUCUCUCUAUAGCUGCUGCUGUAAGCCUUGUCAUUUUGGUCUUAAAAUGCUUGUACUAACCCACUCUAUGAUUCUGGUGGUGGUGUUUUUUUCCACAAUUUUUUUGUUGUUAAAAAAAAUCCUGUUCAUAAUAUACAGUGUUGGGAAGGUUACUUUUAAAAUGUAUUCCCCUACAGAUUACAGAUUACAUACCCCAAAAUGUAGUUUGUAAUGUAAUCCAUUAAAUUACUUAAGUGAGUAACGUAAUCUGAAUACUUUGGAUUACUUGAUAUUGUUAUGCUUUUGAAAACAACAUGAAUGUAACAACCACAUCCUGAAAAUUCUUGUUUGUUCUCUUCAAAUGGUCUGAGCCCAAAUCUCCAUGAACAGACAACUGUUUACUGUAGAGAGGUAAAGACCAGGAAAUCUUAACAUGAGGUAUUUGUUUUGUCUGCUAAAAGAAAAUAAAAAGCCCAGUCUUUACUUAAGCAUAUUAAAAAUAUUGAUAGAGAAAUGAUUUAUAUAUGAAAUCACUGCUGCCUUAAAUUAUGUCCACCUAUUGUUAGGUGUCAUAUUGUCUAAACCAGGUUUUAGUCCUGGUUUUAGUCCUGGUUUUAGUCCUGGUUUAGCCCAAAAUGUGAAAACAGGAAAAUACCGCCAUGUAAUCCAUUUAUUUCAAAGUAACUGUAAUCCAAUUACCACUCACUGAAACAGUAACUAACUGAAUACAGUUACUCAUAAAUUGUACUCUGAUUACUUAAUCCCAGUUACAUGUAAUCCGUUACUCCCCAACACUGCAGCCUGUGCGCUCAGUGCAGCCCGCGGAGACUCUACGGCACAUCACAAAUACACACGCUCCCUAUGCACGGCUCGUCUGCAACAGCGUGUGCCCUCGUGUACCAGCGUGCAUCACAGGGCAGGUUCAACUUCCUAAACAUCCUACCUGUCCAUCUGCCUCACGUCAGCACGCCGCCCCUCGCCUUUUCACGCUCUCGCUCCUUCCUGCGUACAGCGAACACAAACCCCUCCCACAGUGCGGCUGAUUAGAAGAGCAAGAUCAAACGUGAAGCAAAAAACAGUCUAAAUUUGUGUUCCAGUGUUGGCACAAAGCAGGUCUACAGCAUAGAGCAGAUCUACAGAACAGACCUACUGCCACAUUUGGCUGAAGUUUGCCUAACAAAAGUGCACAAAUGCAUCUGUGUUUGUCACGAUGUGCGUUUGGUUUGGUAAAUGUGCAGAGGCUGGUAAAUAUCACUGCAAAACCAGAAAAGAAUGAAACUCCAGUUUGGAACUUUAAAAAACAGGUUUAAAAAUCUUCCUUCACUUUUUUCACAGUUUUGUGUGAAGUGCCAGAGGAAGUUCUCUUAAAGAAGGGGUUCUCAAACUGUGGGUGAGGGUCCAAAAAGGGGCACAAAGUGUUUCAGUGCAGUUUGCUUGGCUUUGUAUUAGGUAGAUCUUUAUGACUUGGUCAUUUUGUAAGUAGCUUGCAAGCUGAAAAAGUGUGAACACCCCUGCCUUAGAGGAACACAAACAAUAUUCUCCAUGUGUCAUUAGGCCUAUGAAAAUAGUGUGAUUUAAUUGUGUCGGGUUCAGACACAAACAGCUUAAUGCCUAUUGGCCUCAGGUCAGAUUUAAUCACUGCUCUUUUGGACGCAGGUCAGGUUUGGAGAGAAAAAUUCAUCCCGAUCCACACAGCAGUAGCAGUACUUUUUGGGAGGAUAGCUUCUCAAAAAUAUAACUCUCUAGUACUUAAAUCCAUUUUUGUAUUCAAUUCAAACUUAAAAACAUGGGGAAAAAAUCUCACAAGAUAAUUUUCAGUAUGUGUGCACAAUCCCCUGGCAAGUUUGUCUCGCAAGAUCUUGUCCCUAUUAACCAAUCAUUGUGGAAAACCUUUAAUUAUAAUAUACUGCAUUAUAUUAUUAUGGAUUGUAUACAGACAGAAAUGCAUGGUCUGUCCUGCAAUACGAAGUGUUGCUAAAUGUCUCUCCACACACUUGACAGUUUUUUUUAUUAGUUAUUGUGCUUUUUUCCAUUGAUGUUGUAUUCUUUCUUAUCAUUGGCUGUAAAAUUGCUGUUGAAAUGUCCUGUUCACUUAAAACUACCAGGUAUUUAAAAUUCAAACUGAAGUUGCUUGUCUCCUUGGCGAUGUUAUUGCUUUGCCUGGAAUGUUCUUCAGUAUGACAUUAAACUUUUAAGAAAUCCAUGGAGAAAUGACAUCACAAGGCCAAUUUCAGAGGUCAGAUCCACAGAGAGGCGAAGGGAAUCAGAUCUGUGUGACUGCAAACCUUUCAUUCAAAUGAACGACGUUCAAACUGUUUCCCUUUCCAGCGGAAUUGAAAAAUUGUGAAAAAGCGAAGGUGAUGGGCCGGAUCGAUCCACAAGAAGGACCAAAAAGGAAACCUUCGGCUGCCUAAGAAAUCAUCCCAAGUUUGCAGCGAACAUUUUUUAUAUGGAGCGCCAUCAAAACCCUCGCUCAACCUUGGUUACGAAGUUUUACAUGUGUUAAACUUUAUAUCAUUUUAUUUUUAUCAUGAAACUUUCUAAAAGCAAGGAUAUUGAUACUACUGAGCA